UCUUCGGAGGUCAGCGGCGGACGGGUGAGUAACACGUGGGCAACCUGCCUGUAAGACUGGGAUAACUCCGGGAAACCGGAGCUAAUACCGGAUAGUAUCUUGAACCGCAUGGUUCAAGUUGGAAAGACGGUUUCGGCUGUCACUUACAGAUGGGCCCGCGGCGCAUUAGCUAGUUGGUGAGGUAAUGGCUCACCAAGGCAACGAUGCGUAGCCGACCUGAGAGGGUGAUCGGCCACACUGGGACUGAGACACGGCCCAGACUCCUACGGGAGGCAGCAGUAGGGAAUCUUCCGCAAUGGACGAAAGUCUGACGGAGCAACGCCGCGUGAGUGAUGAAGGUUUUCGGAUCGUAAAACUCUGUUGUUAGGGAAGAACAAGUGCGAGAGUAACUGCUCGCACCUUGACGGUACCUAACCAGAAAGCCACGGCUAACUACGUGCCAGCAGCCGCGGUAAUACGUAGGUGGCAAGCGUUGUCCGGAAUUAUUGGGCGUAAAGCGCGCGCAGGCGGUUUCUUAAGUCUGAUGUGAAAGCCCCCGGCUCAACCGGGGAGGGUCAUUGGAAACUGGGAAACUUGAGUGCAGAAGAGGAGAGUGGAAUUCCACGUGUAGCGGUGAAAUGCGUAGAGAUGUGGAGGAACACCAGUGGCGAAGGCGACUCUCUGGUCUGUAACUGACGCUGAGGCGCGAAAGCGUGGGGAGCGAACAGGAUUAGAUACCCUGGUAGUCCACGCCGUAAACGAUGAGUGCUAAGUGUUAGAGGGUUUCCGCCCUUUAGUGCUGCAGCUAACGCAUUAAGCACUCCGCCUGGGGAGUACGGUCGCAAGACUGAAACUCAAAGGAAUUGACGGGGGCCCGCACAAGCGGUGGAGCAUGUGGUUUAAUUCGAAGCAACGCGAAGAACCUUACCAGGUCUUGACAUCCUUUGCCACUUCUAGAGAUAGAAGGUUCCCCUUCGGGGGACAAAGUGACAGGUGGUGCAUGGUUGUCGUCAGCUCGUGUCGUGAGAUGUUGGGUUAAGUCCCGCAACGAGCGCAACCUUUGAUCUUAGUUGCCAGCAUUCAGUUGGGCACUCUAAGGUGACUGCCGGUGACAAACCGGAGGAAGGUGGGGGAUGACGUCAAAUCAUCA
rnacentral:rRNA from 2 species